rnacentral:lncRNA from 1 species
ACCUGCUACAACUAAACACAACAUUACAACCUGCUACAACUAAACACAACAUUAUCGACCUGCUACAACUAAACACAACAUUAUCGACCUGCUACACAGAGAGGAACCAAGCAUAAAUGUCUUUUUCCAUUGAUUGAAAAUAGCUGUCACUGCAGGGGGAUGUUUGUAGCCAUCUUUUCAUUUUAUUUUCUCCUUCAUGUGGGAACAUCUAUAAUAUUAGACCCAUCUCUUUAUUCUCUUGAAUGACCUGUACAGACCAGGGUCUGUACCGACCCCGAGCUGGACUGAGGAGGUUUUAUACAGACCAGGGUCUGUACCGACCCCGAGCUGGACUGAGGAGGUUUUAUACAGACCAGGGUCUGUGAUCAACCAAGAUGGACUGAGGAGGUUUUAUACAGACCAGGAUCUGUACCGACCCAGAACUGAACUGAGGAGGUUUUAUACAGACCAGGGUCUGUACCGACCCAGAGCUGGACUGAGGAGGUUUUAUACAGACCAGGGUCUGUACCGACCCAGAACUGGACUGAGGAGGUUUUAUACAGACCAGGGUCUGUACCGACCCCGAGCUGCACUGAGGAGGUUUUAUACAGACCAGGGUCUGUACCGACCCCGAGCUGGACUGAGGAGGUUUUAUACAGACAGGGUCUGUGAUCAACCAAGAUGGACUGAGGAGGUUUUAUACAGACCAGGAUCUGUACCGAGCUGGACUGAGGAGGUUUUAUACAGACCAGGGUCUGUACCGAGCUGGACUGAGGAGGUUUUAUACAGACCAGGGUCUGUACCGACCCAGAGCUGGACUGAGGAGGUUUUAUACAGACCAGGGUCUGUACCGAGCUGGACUGAGGAGGUUUUAUACAGACCAGGGUCUGUAUCAACCCCGAGCUGGACUGAGGAGGUUUGAUACAGACCAGGGUCUGUACCGACCCAGAGCUGGACUGAGGAGGUUUUAUACAGACCAGGGUCUGUACCGAGCUGGACUGAGGAG